rnacentral:rRNA from 1 species
AAUGAACGCUGGCGGCAUGCCUUACACAUGCAAGUCGAACGGCAGCAUGACCUAGCUUGCUAGGUUGAUGGCGAGUGGCGAACGGGUGAGUAAUGCAUCGGAACGUUCCUUUUAGUGGGGGAUAACGUAGCGAAAGUUACGCUAAUACCGCAUAUUCUCUGAGGAGGAAAGCAGGGGACCUUCGGGCCUUGCGCUAGAAGAGCGGCCGAUGUCGGAUUAGCUAGUUGGUGAGGUAAAGGCUCACCAAGGCAACGAUCCGUAGCGGGUCUGAGAGGAUGAUCCGCCACACUGGGACUGAGACACGGCCCAGACUCCUACGGGAGGCAGCAGUGGGGAAUUUUGGACAAUGGGCGCAAGCCUGAUCCAGCCAUGCCGCGUGAGUGAAGAAGGCCUUCGGGUUGUAAAGCUCUUUCGGCUGGGAAGAAAUCGCACCCUCUAAUACAGGGUGUGGAUGACGGUACCAGCAGAAGAAGCACCGGCUAACUACGUG